AUUGAACGCUGGCGGCAGGCCUAACACAUGCAAGUCGAACGGUAACAGGAAGAAGCUUGCUUCUUUGCUGACGAGUGGCGGACGGGUGAGUAAUGUCUGGGAAACUGCCUGAUGGAGGGGGAUAACUACUGGAAACGGUAGCUAAUACCGCAUAACGUCGCAAGACCAAAGAGGGGGACCUUCGGGCCUCUUGCCAUCGGAUGUGCCCGGAUGGGAUUAGCUAGUAGGUGGGGUAACGGCUCACCUAGGCGACGAUCCCUAGCUGGUCUGAGAGGAUGACCAGCCACACUGGAACUGAGACACGGUCCAGACUCCUACGGGAGGCAGCAGUGGGGAAUAUUGCACAAUGGGCGCAAGCCUGAUGCAGCCAUGCCGCGUGUAUGAAGAAGGCCUUCGGGUUGUAAAGUACUUUCAGCGGGGAGGAAGGGAGUAAAGUUAAUACCUUUACUCAUUGACGUUACCCGCAGAAGAAGCACCGGCUAACUCCGUG
rnacentral:rRNA from 1 species